CGCUCAUCCAGAGGGGCAGAGGGAUACGGCCCGAUGAAGCCCCGGCAACCCUCCAGCCGGUCUCGUUACCGAUCACUGUUGAUCGUUCCGCGAGGCUCCCGGCUCGGGAAGGUGCCAAAUCCGUCUCACGACGAGAUGCGUCGUGAGGAAGAUGAGGA
rnacentral:ncRNA from 2 species